rnacentral:rRNA from 1 species
CAGCAGCCGCGGGAAUACGUAGGUCCCGAGCGUUGUCCGGAUUUAUUGGGCGUAAAGCGAGCGCAGGCGGUUAGAUAAGUCUGAAGUUAAAGGCUGUGGCUUAACCAUAGUACGCUUUGGAAACUGUUUAACUUGAGUGCAGAAGGGGAGAGUGGAAUUCCAUGUGUAGCGGUGAAAUGCGUAGAUAUAUGGAGGAACACCGGUGGCGAAAGCGGCUCUCUGGCUUGUAACUGACGCUGAGGCUCGAAAGCGUGGGGAGCAAACAGGAUUAGAUACCCCUGUAGUCCCUGUCUCUUAUACA